UCCAGACUCCUACGGGAGGCAGCAGUGGGGAAUAUUGCAGAAUGGGCGCAAGCCUGAUGCAGCCAUGCCGCGUGUAUGAAGAAGGUCUUCGGGUUGUAAAGUACUUUCAGCGGGGAGGAAGGUGUUGUGGUUAAUAACCACAGCAAUUGACGUUACCCGCAGAAGAAGCACCGGCUAACUCCGUGCCAGCAGCCGCGGUAAUACGGAGGGUGCAAGCGUUAAUCGGAAUUACUGGGCGUAAAGCGCACGCAGGCGGUUGAUUUAGUCAGAUGUGAAAUCCCCGGGCUUAACCCGGGAAUUGCAUCUGAUACUGGUCAGCUAGAGUCUUGUAGAGGGGGGUAGAAUUCCAUGUGUAGCGGUGAAAUGCGUAGAGAUGUGGAGGAAUACCGGUGGCGAAGGCGGCCCCCUGGACAAAGACUGACGCUCAGGUGCGAA
rnacentral:rRNA from 1 species